rnacentral:rRNA from 1 species
GAUGAACGCUGGCGGCGUGCCUAAUACAUGCAAGUCGAGCGAACAGACGAGGAGCUUGCUCCUCUGACGUUAGCGGCGGACGGGGGAGUAACACGUGGAUAACCUACCUAUAAGACUGGGAUAACUUCGGGAAACCGGAGCUAAUACCGGAUAAUAUAUUGAACCGCAUGGUUCAAUAGUGAAAGACGGUUUUGCUGUCACUUAUAGAUGGAUCCGCGCCGCAUUAGCUAGUUGGUAAGGUAACGGCUUACCAAGGCAACGAUGCGUAGCCGACCUGAGAGGGUGAUCGGCCACACUGGAACUGAGACACGGUCCAGACUCCUACGGGAGGCAGCAGUAGGGAAUCUUCCGCAAAGGGCGAAAGCCUGACGGAGCAACGCCGCGUGAGUGAUGAAGGUCUUCGGAUCGUAAAACUCUGUUAUUAGGGAAGAACAAAUGUGUAAGUAACUAUGCACGUCUUGACGGUACCUAAUCAGAAAGCCACGGCUAACUACGUG